CGCCGCUCUCCUCUUCCUGCCGCCUCGGCUCACUCCUCCCACCUCAGCUCUCUCCUCCCUCCAAACCCUAGCCCCACACGCCGCCGGUCGCGCGGCUCCGCCUCCUACUCUCCUCCCCUCGAAGCCCGAGCGCGUCUGACCAUGGGGCGGCCGGCGGCAGCGGGCGAGCGGGGGCGGCUGGGCGCGCCGAGCGGGGGCCGGUGUGGCAGGCGAACAGCGGCAGCCGGAGGCGAGGCCAAGGGCGGGCGAGCAGCAAGCGCACGGGGCUGGCAAGGCAGCGCGGGCGCGGGCGCGUCUGCGGGCAGCAACGGCAACAGCGCGUAGCAGCAGGCAGCGGCGACCGCGAGCGCGCGGGGCUGGCGAGGAUGCGGCAGCGUGGCAGGGCGGCGAGCAACGGGAAGUAGCAGGAGCUCGCCGCGCGUGUGGAGCUGCGUGGACCAGCGGGUCGACGCUCCGUGCUCUCCCUACGCCGCAGCAGCCUCUUCGCGUCUCCCCGCCCCUGCCGCCGCCGGUGACCCCUGUGCCCCUUCUUCUCCGUGCUCGGCCACCCCGCGCCACUGCUGCACCUGUCGCUUCUCCCUCCGCCUCUAGACUGGGCAUGUGGAGCGCGGCGCUGUCGCCAUUGUCCUCGACGUACGGGGAGCGCUGGCUGCAGAGAAGGCCAUCCACGGUGCCGUCGCCCCACAACAGAGAAGGUCGAGAAGGAUUCUGGGUGGUUUGGCCUAUCCCUUAUGCUUUUCCCUUUUCAAUUUACGCUUUGCUGCUCUUCGAUUUGAUCCAUUAUAGUGUUGUAGCUGCAAGUGUUGGACUGGUCGUUCCUCUAACCGGAGGCCUUGCGAUGGUUCUGUUGGGUUCAGGUAAAACCAGGCAAUGAACUUUGGAGUUAGUAUCCUCAAGUUACUUUUUAACUGCAUUACUAGACAGCGGUUGGCUUUCAGUUACCAGGCUUUUCAGGUUUUGCUGCUGUUAAUUGUAUUUGGUAAGUUGCCUCUCAUUGUGCUUGUUGUCGGAACCAGCAACAGCAGAAGCUUGCCUGCUGCCCUACCUCUUCAGCAAUCUGAUGGAUUUACAGGCUUGUUUGUUUCAUUGGUGGCUUGCUGCUCGGGUUCUUUGUUGAUUUUGUUGGAUGUGUGUGUUGUUUACCAACAAGGAGCUUCAUAAGGGUUGCUCACCAAUGAACUAGAAGAUUGUUUUGUCCUGGGCACUCACACGAUUAAGGAAGAAAUUGGUUAUUCCUGGAUGUGCUAUGCAGAUCAAAGAUUUUGCAGGUUAUUUAGCCAUUCCCGUGCUUCCAAAGCAACUCAUGACCCCUCUUAUAACUCUGCCUGCAAUACUUAGGUGUUACAAUAACAGUUUGACCAUUUUUGCCUUAUAAUGAGAGUCCUUUCACUAUUUUGGAGAUUGGUGCAUUCUUUCUGCAGUUUAACACCUGCAUUGGUACUUUUAACCUUUCAUUUAGCGAGUUGACAAGGUCAUCGUGUUAGAUUGCGCAGAGCUUCUGAGGCCAUCUAAAUAUAUUCCAUGCACUGAAUGAAAGCACGUACCUUGUUGUGACCAGAAACUGAAGUGAGUAUAGCCCAAGUCGACUCUGGCUUUUUGUGACCAAAAACUGAACUGAGUAUAGCCCAAGUCGAUAUUUACCUAUUCUGUAGUGCAGACCAGCAGCUGAGAAUGUUCAUUAGAUGUUUUGUUCUGUUCCAAACGCGCAAGCAACUUGCAGGGGGGUCCAUUUCUUAGAAACGCGUCGUCAGUUAACUAUAUGUAUGCUUAUUUCAUAAUGUAGACUAGCAGCUUGGAAUUUCUAAUCAGAUGAUUUGUUUAGUUGUUUCCAAAUGUGCAGGCAACUGGAAGGAGAAUGCACAUCUCUUGUCAUUAUGUUGUACAAGCUCAUGUGGAAUUCAAUUUUAGGUUGUUUGAUAUGGUGCAAGGGCAUGCCCUAAAUGAGAGAAAGAACCAACACAAGGGGAGGAGCAGGGGUCAAACAACCGAUAUCUUGGCAAUCACUCUAUUUCUGACUUUCUAUGUUAUUGUUUUCAUUCGUUAUGAGGAAGGGGAUAACCAUCUGAUUCGGAUAUACAAAAUUGUGUAUUAAACCAUUUAAUCAUAUUGACCUACUGGACUAUUACCUUGUGUGAAGUUGCUUACCAUGGGCCUCUAUUCCUAUAGUAGACUUCUAAUUUCAUGAUGCUACUGAGUUUACAAUUGAAGUUGCUUACCAUGGGCCUGUAUUGCUUUUCUAAUUUCAUCAAUUGAGUACUUUGAUGUUUCAGAGUUUAUACCAUGAGUGCAUCUGCAGCAAUUUGGUAUCUGGUUUUUAUUUCAUUUUCUUACAAUUCACAAUAAGCCUUCUCGAAUAAAUCACAGUGUGACCUAAUCUUACGUGAUUGGAUGUCGCCUAAGUAUGCUUCCUGCUAUUUUUUACACUAUUGUUAACGCCAAACUGUUGUCAUGACUUACUGGUGAAAUUUAGAAGUGAUAUAUCUGCGCAUAUAUACGGGUAUUUAACAUAACAUGAUCUGCAUAUUCUGAAUCUGCAGUUCUGCACUAUGCUUUGCUGGAUGUCGCCUAAGCAGAGGAUGCGGCAGUCUUGGCCACAUUUGGUUUUCAUAAGCUAAUAUGGGGUUUCUUUCCCUUUUAUUCUUGCAAGAUAUGGUUCUUUGUUGGUUCAUUCGACCAUGCCGUUAACCAACAAGGCCUCUGAUCCUGUCUGUAGUGUGCGGCUAGGUUGUUCCUCCGCCUGGGUUGUAGCUUCUUUCCUUUCUGCCGACGGCAGGUACAAGACUCGAGCAAUGGUUAACGGGCAAGCACUAUAUACACCAUUCAUCUAUGCUAAUAUAAUCUGUCUUUUAAAGCCAAUGUAUGCUAUCACCAAGUGAUCUGAAUAUUUUGUUUCAAGCAUCAAGCUUUCAUGUAAUGGAAUAUAAGUAUCUUUAAGUUGAUUCUAAAUCAAUCUCAUACACAUGCUUUGAAUGCUUGGCUCGCUUUUGCUUUUUGUGCCAUGGUCAAACAUGGAGCGAUGACUCUGUCUAAUGUUUAUCACUUCAUAGCGCCUAUAUGUGACUAUCUACUUUCUUUGCUAAUAACAUUGUAAAUAAUUAAUCGUAAGCUUCUUAGAACACUAAGUACCAUCACUAAGCAUCUAUCUACCAGCAAUAGGUACUUAUUUUCAUAUGUUUCAAUAUGUGCCCGAAUAAUAUUAAUGUACACUCUUUCAAUACAUGGCAUACUCUCGGCCUUUGCGCCAUUGGCGCAACCAGUCACCUAGUAGUAGUCGAGGGAGAUAGCUCAUCGAAAGAUGACGCAUCAGAAGAAUUCACAAGAUGUGGACGACUAGUUUAGUAAAGAAGAGGAUGAGGAUGAGGAUGAAUCACCUGGGAAGCCUUAGGGGACGAACGAGGUUGGGAAGCCGCAGAUGACGAUGACGUGCGGUCUACAACAGUCGUACAGGAAGACACAUUGGAAUGGAUGGACAAGGGCAAUACAUGAGUAAUAGGUGUAUCGGCAAAAGCCAGGAAAGAAAUGUCCUCAAUGAGAGAGGCCGAAGGAGAGAAUUGACGUGGAUAGAAAGGACGAGGCUCAUCAAAAGUCGCACCCCGAGAAAUGCUUAUCCGCCGAUCGAUACGAUCCCAACACUGAUAGUCCUUGUGCUCAUCAGCGUAACCUAAGAAGAAACAUUCAAUAUACUAAGCAACCAGUUUGAGGGGGCAAGAACAUAUUAAUCGCAACAAAACAAAGGAAGCGUUGUGUAGCCAUGAGAACGACCAAAAAGACACUCGAGAGGAAUAUCGCCCUACAAAGCAAGGAAGGUUGACUGUUGAUCAGGUAGGUGGAUGUAGAAACAACCUCAACCCAAAAGUGACCUAAAAAGACACAUUCAAUAUACUAAGCAGUCAAUUUGAGGGGCAAGAAGAAUGUAUUAAACGCAACAAAACAAACGAAGCACUGAGUAGCCAUGAGAACGACCAAAAAGACACUCGACAGGAAUAUCACCCUGCAAAGCAAGGAAGGAUAACUGUUGAUCAGGUAGGUGGAUGUAGAAGCAACCUCAACCCAAAAGUAAGGUGGAAGAGAUGCGUUGAUCUUCAAUGCACAAGCUGCCUCAAGAAGGUGACGAUGCUUAGCAAACAAUUCUGAUCAUAAGACCAUGACAAGAGAACUGAGAAAGUGCGCCCUGCUCAGCAAGGAAUCCGCUUAAUAAAUGAUUGAUAAACUCGCAUGCAAAAUCUGCAUGGAAGACACAGGAAGGAGUGGAAAACCGGGUAUGAAGCAUGGCGGCAAACUUCUUACUGAUAAGACCUUGCUAGAAGAAAAGCAUAAAAUAUAUCCAUGUGUGUUCGAGAGAAAUCAUAUAUAAAGAUGAUAUAGUAGUGAUGUCCUCCUUUUGAGGCAAAGGGACCUGGACCCCAAACAUCGAAGUGAACAUCUUGUGAAUUCUUUUGAUGCGUCAUCUUUCGAUGAGCUAUCUUUACUAUGAGGACGAUGAGACACAAUCUCACUAUGAGGAUAAUGUAACUUAACCUGUUUGCUAAGCUGACAAACUGACAGCCUAAAGACACACCGCCAGAGACAGAUCCAAGAAGACCACGUCGAACUAAGGAUGAGAGACUAGAGCCACACAAGUGACCAAGACAAUGAUUCUAAAAGAAUUGGUAAAGAAAGUAACCGGGGCAGAGAGACUGGCGGCGGUGGCAGGAAAGGGAAGGUUAAGCCAGAUAAGCACCUAGAGGACUUGGGAAUUACAACGUCGAGGGCCAACACCAAGUAGAGCACCCGUGUAAGGACUCUAAUCAGAACAUGAACAUGAGAAUCUGGAGGUCGAAUGGCUGACAAACUGGAAGAAUCAUAAGUUAUAUGAAAAUACAUCCAGUACCAAGGAUCCAUGGAGAUGUACCUGGUUGUGUAAAAAGUCGUCACUCGGUACAAGAAAAAUUUACCUUAUAAAGGAUGAAGGGGUUGUUAGUCACGACCAAGCCAUCCACGUCGGCUAUGAACAGUUAGCAAGCGGGCAGCGAGCGCGAGCGGGUAGCGAGAGAAAAAGGGUACACGUGCGCUGCGAGAGAAAAUAUCUCGUCUCUCUCCCGAGCGGGCAGCGAGAGAAAAAGGGUACACGUCCGUUGCGAGAGAAAAUAUCUCGUCUCUCUCCCUCCUCCCUUCCCGUCGCCUCCUCCUCUUCCCCGUCCCUCACGGCCUCCUCGCCCCCUCCGCCUUCAGCACCUCUUCCUCCCCUUCCUCUCCUCCUUCCCUGCCUUCGGUUCCAGGCAUGGAGGGAUGAACCCGGAGAGCUGUAGCCGGUGGAUGCCGCGACGUACGGGGAGGCGAUGGCGAAGGGGAGUUUCGGUCAAGUGGAAUCUGAUGGGUUGCAGGGCGAGGAGCAGGGAGUAGCCUGGCGUAGAUACAGAAUAUCGGCCUCUCCUCACGACCCACCUUUCCCACCAGAGCACAACUAGUCAUCUAGGGUUUGGAUGGGUCUGGGUUCCUACAACGAUGGCAGCAGAGGCGACAAAGACCACUUUGCAACCUCGCCGAACUGUGUUACUGAACUGAAAGUUUAGGGACGGCAGUAGUUCUACCACCGAUGGUGUUGCAUGUAAGCUGGAUGUUCUCAUUGUUCUGUUGGCUCUGAUCGGUGAUGCAGGAUGUGAGGUACAACUAUCAAAGUGACAUUAAUUUUGGUUUUGCUUCCUAUCCGCAGCCUCUUCUACACUAGAAAAGGAAAACACUCGACGAUCUGGCUCUGUCUCAGGUAUAUGCUCCCUCGCCCGCAAGAUCCGCUCUCUCCCAUCUAUGCAUCACGGCAGCACUUCAGCUCCUCUUGUGGAUUCUCACCAGAUUAGGCCACCUCACUCACCUUCAGUUGUCAGGACCUCACCGGCAGAUCCCUCAGCUAUCAGGGAAAGCAGUCAUCAGCGGAGAUUGAGGGUGCCUCUCCGGCAAGAGUGCUCGUGUCGUGGUGGUUUCCCACCAGCAGCAUGGGGGAGACGGUGUCCUCUGCAGCUAGGUCUACUUGCUGGCGACCUCACCGUCACCAGCCCAUCUGCAGGUAUGCUAGCUCAUCUUCUAUUAGUGCAAAAAGGAGAUGCUCAAAUGGAUUGAGUGGUACCCUCCUGAAACUAUUGUAGGGAUGGACAUAUGGAUUGAUUGGUUGGCCCCUGAAAGCUACACAGAUCUGAACCAAUAACUUUAAUAAGAAUGUGUAUCCCAGCUCCUUUUAUAAUCUUGAAUCCUUCUCGGUCCUACUAAACUGUAACUCAUGUUUAUUUUUGGAAACAAUAUUUUGGACAUUCCUAACCUGGUCAAGGGAAUGUAUUGCCCACCUACAGUGAGAGACACAUACGAAGUAGGUCCUACUAAACACCUAAAAGGAUGAGUUACAGUAGGUGUGCAUAGAGUACUAACAUUUUUGCUAUCUUUAUGCUCCUCCAUAUGGAUGGGAACUAAAAGGAUGAUGAUAUUAUUCUACCUUUCAAUAUUUGGUGGUGCAUAUUUAAGAAAAUCACAGCUAAGCAUGUCACUUUCUAAAAAGACGCUUGACUGGAAUGUAUAUGUAUAUAGUUAAUAAAAUCAUAGUGACUGAUUGUUCAGUUCCUCUGUUUAGAUUAGAGGUGUCUGCAUGCAUCCAAGUGAACGGUCUUUCCAGCUCAAAAGAGAAAGUGACCGAUGUUUUGGCAUAUUUUCCUAUUAGGAAUAAAUGGAUAUGCCCAUGCACGUAUGCACACAGAUUUCAGGUUACAGUUUAAUUAGGAAACAGAUGAUACCUCAUUGUGUCGUAUUGGUCUAAGAAGAGGGGAUAUACUUGGUGAAUAUAUAUGUUCCACCUGACCGUUAAUUUCAGAGAAAAGGACAUGCACUUCAGUAGCAAAAAUUUGAUUGUUAUGUACUAUCUGUAAUGCUAAGCAUUUAUUUGCUAAUAUCUCCUCAUCUGAAUUUGUAUUUUGUGCCAUUUGGCCUUUUAACCAUAUGGGCAUAUGCAGAUGGUCUGAAAACCAAGGUAUGCCACAGAUAAUAACUAUAUGGGCUGCUCCAGAUGGACUAAGAAUGGAACCAUAUCCUAGGCCUACAUGCUAAUAUUGUACAGCAAUGAAUAUCUUAACUUAUUUAUACUUAAUCAGCUGUGUAAUAAUAAGCGUGAUAUUAGCUUUCGUACCCAUCUUCAUGGUUGAAAUACUUUUCUGCAAUAUGUGACACAUUUGCUUCAGUUUCCAUGUCUUGCUUCAUGCUAUCAACAUUGUUAAUCAUUUAUCUUUAUCUUUCUUCCCCUUUACAGCCUACUUGAAUGGAUAUGGUUCCUGAGAGACCAUUUCUUAUGCAUCAGGUCCUGAAGGUGGAUGAUGCUUGUUUAGAUAUCUAUGAUUCCAAAUUAUUCAAAACGGUUCAUGUUAUACUGGAUGCUAUUUUAUUGAGAGUGGCUUCGAACAAUAUGGCAUGAACAUAUUUGUUUUCUCUUUGGCCAAUAAUGAAAUGAUCUGUGUGCAUAUAAAAUGGUUAUCGAUACCAUAAUUCUUGGUUUUAAUUAGCUUUUUGCGCUAACCGGUUUAAGCCAUUCUACUAUAUGUAAUACAAUCCACAUUGCAUCAUCUUUCCAUUUACGUCUCUUACUUAUUCACUACUAACAUUCCUUCUAAAUGGCUUCUUGCGCCAUUGGCGCAACCGGGUCAUCUAGUUAGUAGCAAAACCUGUUAAUGUUGAACCAAAAGAAGCCGCUAGUAGAUACUAAAGUCACCUAACUUUCGGUGUAGUCAGGGUCUCAACCGGAGGUUGACAAAGAAGUAAUGGGCAAUGAAACUAGAAGUAGGAAGUAGGUGUUUUGUUAAAGAUCGAAAACCCAAAUGUAUUUCUCGUUCUUCUUGUUUGGCUUCAUUUGUUUUUUUAUCUCUUUCUUUUGUGUUCUUUAUGGUUCUUUUCCUUCUAAUUAUUUCUUUUGUUUAUUUGUUUGCUUUUACAAGAAAAAAUACAAAACAUUUCUUUCUCCCUUUUUUCUUUUGAAGUUCUUUGAGAAAACAACAAAUAUUUCUUCAUUCUUUUUGCUUUUUCUUUGGAAGUUUAUCUGAUUGCCUCUUUGUUGAAACUUUGGAAAUCUUGUAUCUUUGCUUGUCACUUUGCAUUAUUGUUUGCCUUCUUUGGGAAAACCAAAAAUUCCAAAAAUACUUAAGUGGUGUUUCUCUUAGUUCUUUGCCUUUUAUAUUUCAAAAAAUCAAAAAAAAAAAUUCUCUUUCAUUUUUCUUUUGUUUUCCUUCGUUUGCUUUUGAUUGUUCUUUUUGGCUUUUCUCGCUGUUUCUUUUUGUUGUUUCUUUCGUCUUUGUGUUUAAGUUGUAAAACCCAAAAAAUCCAAAAAGAUUUCUUGUUUGUAUCUUAUUGAGUCUUGAGUGUUCAAAAUGUUCUUCUUUUUUCUUCCUAUCUUUUCUUUUGUAUGUUUCUUUGUUGUUUUCUAGAAACCCCAAAAGAUUUCAUUGUGCUUUUGUUCUUUUGAUGUUCUUUGAGAAAACAACAAAGAUAUUUUCUCGUUCGUUUUGCUUUUUCUUUGGAAGUGUAUUUUAUUGCCUCUUUGUUGAAACUUUGAAAAUAUUUUAUCUUUGCUUGUCUUCACAUUCUUCUUUGCCUUCUUCGAGAAAAAAAUUCCAAAAAUAUUUUUGUUGUGUUUCUUUAAGUUCUUCUUUGCCUUUUAUCUUUUCGAAAAUCCAAAAACAUUUCUCUUUCGUUGUUUGUUUGUUUUCCUUGCUUUCUUUUGGUUGUUCAUUUUGGCUUUUCUUUGUUGUUUUCUUUUCAUCGUUCCUUUUGUCUUUGUGUUUAAGUUGCAAAACCCAAAAAUUCCAACAACAUUUCUCUUUUGCCCUUAUUGAUUGUCAAAUAUUUGAGGUGUUCUUUUGUUUUUUUCUUCCUAUUUCUCUUUUGGAUGUUUGUUUGUUGUUUGCUUCUAAUAGUAAUCCCAAAAGAUUUCUUUGUCCUUUCGUUCUUUUGAAGUUCUUUGAGAAAAAAAAUAUUUUCUCGUUCGUUUUGCUUUUUCUUUGAAAGUUAUUUGAUUGCCUCUUUGUUGAAACUUUGAAAAUAUUUUAUCUUUGCUUCUCUUUACGGUCUUGUUUGCCUUCUUUGAGAAAAACAAAAGUUUGAAAAAAAUUUCUGUUGUGUUUCCUUAAGUUCCUUUUGGCCUCCAAAAUUCCAAAAAAUAUUUCUCUUUUGGUGUUCUUUUGUUUUCUUUUGGUUUUUCUUUUUGGCUUUUCUUUUUGGCUUUUCUUUGCUGUUUUCUUUUUGUCGUUUAUUUCAUCUCUGUUUUUAAGUUGCAAAACCCAAAAACUCCAAAAGAUUUCUCGUUUGCGUCUUCUUGAGUGUCAAUUGUUUGAAGUGUUCUUUUUGAUUUAUUUUUCUUCCUAUUUUUUCUUUUAUUUGUUUGUUUGUUGUUUGCUUUUAAAACAAACCCUAAAAUAUUUCUUUGUCCUUUCGUUCUUUUGAAGUUCUUUGAGAAAACAACAAAAAUAUUUCCUCGUUCAUUUUGCUUUUUCUUUGGCAGUUUAUUUCAUUGCCUCUUUGUUGAAACUUUGUAAAUAUUUUAUCUUUGCUUCGCAUUACGUUCUUGUAUGCCUUUGAGAAAAAACCAAAAUUCCAAAAAAUAUUUCUAUUGUUUUUUUUAAGUUUUUUCCUUUUAUGUUUUUGAAAAUCCAAAAAUAUUUCUCUUCCGUUCAUCUUUUGUUCUCUUUUGGUUGUUCCAUUUGGCUUUUCUUUGUUUUCUUUUUGUCAUUUUUUUGUCUUUGUGUUUAAGUUGCAAAACACAAAAAUUGCAAAAAGAUUUCUUGUAUGCGUCUUAUUUAGUUGAACUGUUGUUUGGAUCACUCUUCGAACCUCCUAACUGUUUGGAUGUUAAUCCCUUCUUGAUUACUUCUUGAUUUUUUAUCAAAUUUUAUUCCUUGACGAUUCUCACUUGGAUUACUCGAGGUUCUCUAGAAGCUUGGAUUAUCACAUAUGUCUAUGCAUUAGCAACUUAUCUGUUUAUUUAUCUUUGUUUGUAUGAUCUCUCCUGUUUAAUUUCUUCUUCGUCUAUGUUUUCAACAAUUCUGGUUUGCAUUUGUCUCCUUUGCCUAGAAAUUUGGAUUGUACGUCUUAACGGGAGUGUCUUCAUGAUGAGUUAGGAUUAUAGUUAUCCUAUUUCUUUUCUUUUCUUCAGGGUUUAACUUUGUCAUGAAUUCUGAUUUGGAUUUGUUGGUGUUCUUUGAAAAUUGGAAUUAUAGGGUUGGUAGACUUCGAUGAUCUCGUUUUGGUAUGUAUGUAUGUAUGUUUUCUUUGGAUGCCACAUAAACGGAGGGUAGUAGUUCCGUAGAGAUGAAUCAAUGGCCGGAGUGGUUUUGUUUUUGUUAAUGGCUAAUUUGAUUUAUUAUGGUUCAACGUUUUUUUUAUUUGGUCAGAUCUUCUUGGAUGAUGUUUCGGUGUUGUACUGGAGUUUGAUUAUUUGGAUUAUAACCCCUUUUGAUUACUUCUUGUUUGCAUAGUAUAAUUUAGUCCCUUAUAUGAUUCUUACUUGGAUUAUUGGUGGUUCUAAAUAUGGCUUGGCGGGAGCAACUUAUUUGUUAAUCUAUUUUGGAUGACCUAUCUUUAUUUAAUUUGUUCUCAGCUUCCACCUUGUAUGUAUCCCUUGCAUAUGUAGGGUUGGGUACUCUCCAAUAUGCAUAGAGAUCAGGUUCUUCAAGGGCAUCAUCAUAUUCUUCACCUUCUAAAGAUUCAUCUUCCUCCUUGUUGUCGCCAUCGUCAUUUUCCUCCUCUUCAGGCGGUGCGGCGGUCUUCCCCUUUGUAGGAGGAGCGCAGCGAGCCGCAUUCACCUUCACUGGCUCCAGCUCGAGCAGUGCUGCCAUUGCUGGGCUCAGAGCUUUUGCCCGAGCAACAGAGGUACGGAUAGGAAGGCGACGAAAGCCACGAACUACUGCGAACAUCAACAAGUCGAGGCAGGACGAAGAAGAGAAGGAAAGCCACUAUGAAUCUUAAGGCCACAUGGCCCCGGGCUCAAGAACACUUACGUCACUUGAGGGCUAGCAACGCUAAAAGGCUCCAUUACGACAGUGAGCGGAAUUUUGUUUGACCCUAGAUCUCUUAGGGUGUCGAUGCGGGCUCGCAGCUCGUCGUUGCUGAGCUCUCGUGUCGUUGCUCGAGUCGGAUCUUAAGGCCCCAUGUAAAGAUACAUGGGGUGAGCCCGAGUGGCUAGACUCGCCGCUCGAGUCGCGUCUUCAAGACUUGCUCCCUGGUCAGCCCGCGGUCGAUCAGGCUCUCCACCGCGUCGAUCUGCCGCCGGGCGUUGCUGGAUGUCUUCUUCAUCGACUUCCAAGAUCUCUCAGAUGCUUGGGGUGGCUCAUUGAUGAAGGGCGGCAGAUCCCCCGCGAGCCCGAAGCAUAGAACCAACCCUUAUGCCAGUUGGAGACUGACUUUGCCAAAGCAAUCUUGAAGUAGUCCGAUUCAAGCCGGAGCUGGAGGCAGUGGCGGAGCCAGCUCGGCCGGUGAGCCGGGGCAAAGUACACGACGCUCCUACCUGCUGGUUGUUUGCCCCUGCAAAAUGAUGCUUGACUCUCCAUUAACUGCUAGUGGUCAAAGGAGAAUGCAUGGCACAGCCCGGGCAGCCCCCCGGCUAGCCGGGAGGUGGCUCCGCCACUGGCUGGAGGUUGGCGCCUUCAAGGUCGUGGAUAUCAUUGCCAUUCUUCUGGACCUUCACCAGGAAGUAGUAUCAAAACAACUCGAAGUUCGGGUUCGUCCCAAGGAAGCAUUCGCAAUGGGUGAUGUAGUUGGCGAUGUGGAGAAUGGCGUUGGGUGUCAGAUGAUGCAACUGACACCCGUAGGAGAACAAAAGCCCACACACAAAGCUGUCCAGCUGGAAAGGCAAACCUCGACAAAAGAACUGCUGGUGCAACACUCGCUUGUGCUGGCUGGUGGCAGGAUGGCCACGGCCCCCGCCGUCCUCCAUUGAAGUACCUCCCAAGGCAGCAGAAAGUCAUCUUGAACCAACAUAGUGGAGAACCACUUGCAUGUGGUCUCGCCUGCCUCCUCGUUGGCGGAAGCGUUGUCCUUCCGCUCGUCAGUGGUGGUGGCCUUGGGAACGGUCCGGCCAUGACCUCGACCAUGGUCUCCCUUGCCUCGCACCAUCAGCGGCUCGCUUGGGUGGAGAAGGAAAGAAAGGGAGGGCUCGAGGAGCAAGAGCUUGCGACAAUGGCGGUUCCAACAGGGGAGGGAGAAGCAGUAGCGGGAUCUGCGAGAGGAACAGAGGAAGUGGGGAAAUGUCUCUCCCCCCUCUUUAUAUCCCACCGGGAAACCCAAGCAACGGCUUCGGUAGGUCGACAUAUGCCCCAUUUCCUUCGCGGUUUCCCACUACACAGGAUGUGGGCGCGGAGAUCCAGGCAUUAACAUCAUGUUGCAGCGGUCAAAGCGAAACCGACUGGCCAUCUCCCUAUCUUUUGACAGUGAUGACGGGAUGUGACAAGGCGAGUGGCAGCGACGCCUAGGUUCCUAUGGCUAGCAAGAAAUGAUUUGAAGAAGACUUGCCACCAGAGGCCGUUCAACCAUGAAGCUGCGAAGAUGCGACGCCGGAGGCCAUGCAGACGUGAAGCCGCAACAUUGCAAAGACGCAGGCCGCGAAGCCAUGAAGGUGAAAGAUGCAAAGCCGCUAGAUCGCGGCACCACAAAAUCAGGAGCUACGAAGCCACAAAGAUGCGUUGCUGGGGGGCGCGCGAUAGCCAAGUACAUAGAUUUUGAGGUUGGGCUACCGAGAGCUAGACUAUCUCCAUCACUGAAAAAGAGCCUGCCUGGAUUUCGUUCUCAAGGCAGCAAGACUCCACAACUCCAGACAAGCUCGGCCACUACUGAUGGUACAAUAUACCGAGGGUGGCUCGUCCACCGGGAAGCUCGAGACUUGGCUGGCUUCAGGGCCCAAGAGGCCUAGCGGCAUCCUUACCCAGCGAUCGGUCCAGGGGUCUAGGCUUGGAGAUAAAAUUUAUCCUUGGCGUGCAAGCCAAGAAGCUCUUACAGUAAAGUCAGUUAGGAUCCCUAUCAACCCUAGCUCUCAUCCCCUUUAUAAGGCGAGGCUAGGGGUAGUUCGAGGCAUCUGUUCCAUUGCUCAGACCUUGGUAGCAUUCAUCAUCCUCCACUUGUAACCCCCUCGCAUGAGGUCCUCCCACAUCAAUCCAAAACAAAGCAAGAGUAGGGUAUUACCUCAAUCAUGAGGCCCCGAACCUGGGUAAAACUUCCGUGCGAACUCCCUUUACUUCCGACUACGGUCUGCACCCUAACUUGGUCACUGACGGUUUUCUUCACCAUCACUGGUACUCUGGUAGUGAGUUGGAAUCUGUUUAAAUCGUUUGGUUUGCAAUCUCUCUCUCUAGGUUCGGUCCAUUAUAUGUACCCUUGAUCCCCGUGUUGGUUUUCUGCGCCUGUCGGUUGCACGAUAUAUUUAGGAGGUUUGGUCUCAUGGGCAAACCUUUGCUCUUUAACCGAGUCAGGUUAGUGCCUUUUCGGUGGUUUGUUUGAUUCAUUUGUGUUGGCCUCCAUGCAUUGGUUGCAGGACUGAAUUUGGUAUGUGGAGAUCAUGUCGAAGGGGGUUUGAGGAAGGUCUGAUUUGAGUUCAUGAGUUCCAUCAUUCAUCAUUUAAUAGGAGGUGGAUUCAGUGUCCUGAUUGAUUCUUAUUGUAGCAGUUGAUCUUGCUUUUGGUAUGUGUGUAUGUUCUCCUUUAGUUGCAGUAGAAGCAGGAGGGUAGUAGUUCUGCAGAGAUGAAUCAAAGGCUGGAGAGGUUUGGUUUCUGUUCACGGCUGAUUUGAUUCGUUACGGUCAACUGUUAUUUUCAUUUGGUCAGAUCUUCUCGAAUGUGGGGUUGAAGUACUCAUCAACCUAGAACUUCGUGAUUGUUUGGAUGAUAUAAUCCCUUCUCGAUUCAGCUUAUUCAUUUGCACAGUACUCCCUCUGUAAACUAAUAUAAGAGCGUUUAGAAUACUAAAUUAGUGGUCUAAAUGCUCUUAUAUUGUUUACAGAGCGAGUACAAUUUAGUCACUGAUUAUUCUUACCUGGAUUAUUGGUGGUUCUCCAGAAAUUAGGAUUAUAUUAUUUGCUGCAUGGCCAUCAUCUUUUUGGUUCGGUUUUGGUGUGGACCAGUUGGUUAUUGGGUGAACAAAUUUCACAAGGAGUAACAUUUUUCACUCAACCUUGAUAUGAGAAGUGUUAGUUUCAUACCACUGUCUUAUUUGGUUUAGAUAAUUUAGUUCCUCUAUUUGGUGCCAGUUGCCUUUAGUAAAAAAAAUUGUGUUCAAAGCUAGCAAAUAUUAUGCAACUUAACUAAAUAAAUCAGUUGAUUAAUCUCUUUUCAACCUUAACAUAGAAGAUUGUGAUAUUUGUUUGAUUAAACCUGUGAAGAAAAUUCAGGUUCGUACAAAUUUUUGUGUAGAUACUCUUUGCUGCUUGACCAUGAUCUUUUUUGUUUGGUUUUGGUGUACACUAGUUGGUUAUUGUGGGGACAAAUUUUAUAAGUAACAUUUUAUACUCAAACUUGAUUCAGAUAGUUCGGUACCUCUACUUGGUGCAAUUGGACACCAGUACCUUUUUGUGUGUGUUCAAAGCUAGUUAAAACUAUGGAACUUAAAUAUACAAAUCAGUUGAUUAAUCUCUUUCAAACCUUACAUGAGAAAAUUGUGAUUUCUGUUUGGUUUAGCCUGUGAACAAAAUUCAGGUUCCUACAAUUUUAAAUUAAUCUAGUUUCUGCAUGUGAGCUGUAUUGUUUUCAGGUUUUGUACAUGACUUGUAUUAUUUGGUCUUGUUAUUUUUUAUGUUGGAAAAGUCUGAUAUUUAGAUUGUUGAUCUGCUUCCUACAUAUCUCUUUGUCACGAAAUGUACUGGUGGUCUUUAAUCUAUUUUGCACAAUGCACAUAUGUUGGUGUCCAUUGUGCUUACUACAUGAACAUGAUAUUUGGAGUCUUACUUUAGUGGAGUGCUAAUCUGAUCAUGCUUGGAAAAGGGAUAUCAUGAUAGGUUUUGUUAGCCUGGGGCUUGUCUGAAACUGUUGUAGUCCUGUAAAUACAAAAGUAAAAAGUGUUGAAUGGGAACAGUAGUAGGUGUCAUUGUCAUCUGGAUUUAUCAGUCUGUAGUGUACACCUGGUAAAAGAUGGUCUGAACUCUGAAGCUAGUAGAAACUACUGGUUCCACAUUUAUUUUCUUGAUUCAGAUAAUUCACUUCGUUCAUUUCGUAACAUUUUGCUUCUAGUACAAAACCUAGUAAAAGAUGACCGAGAAGGCUGUCAGGUGUUGCAGAGAGAACCCAACUGAAAACGUGAUCAUGCCGGUUGGUACUACUUUCGACUUUUUGGGCGAAGCAUACGACUUGUGUGUACAUGUAGGUGAAUAUCAUCCGGAAAGCAUGGUAAAGCAGGUGUGUCGUCCUUGUGUAUGAUGUUAUGUCGUACUUCAGCGAGUCAGCAGAUAACUGCUUCUGUAUUGACACCUUGUGCAAGAAUGAGAAUCGGGCAACACCAGAGUCUGCUUGACAUGAAAGUCAUAAGUUAGCGCAGAUAAAGUGCGUCAAAUGAAAUCAACAGGAAUGAUAAGCUUAGUUGCGAGCUUCAAACUAGAGAGUGACGGGCUUACUGAGAAUUCAGGUUCGAUGGGGUGCCUCCAGCUUAAAUAAGGGUUUUUGGUUUCUGCUUCAUAAUCAAGUUGAGCAAAACGGCGGAAAAACCAAGGGCAUCAGUUCAUGACCAAUUAUUCUGUUGCCGACAAGCUGGUCCCUAAUUGUAUAGCCUAUAAUCCGAACGAAUCUUGGCUCCUCGUGAACAAUGAAGUUGCUGCAUUGUUGGGGACAUCUUUGUUAGUGCGGCCAAAAUAAACAAGCUGAGGGUGAGGGGUGGACUAUUGGGUUAGACUAGUGUAGUGAUGCGCAUGAAUACCAGGCUGGCUCACUGUUUGGUGCAUAUAUCAACUGCUCAAGGAGUUCAGCAACACUAGCUUAUUUCCUUCAAAGAGGACUGUGAUCUCAAACUUUUUAUUUAUGUCUUCAGUAUCUGCCUAUUUUAGUUAUUCCCUUCAUUUUUUGUCUUACCAUAGUAUCUUAGGCUCUAGUUGUUCAUUUCUAUUUAUUCAGUCACCCAUUUCUGUUAGUGUUCAGUUUUUAUGUUCAUUGCUCUAUCUGCAAUUUACAUGAGGUAACUCUCUCAGUCAUCACUCUUUAUUCAUUAGUCCAUGUUGAGUCCCUCAAUUUUUCCUUUUUCUUUUUUGGCAGUCUAUGCUGCUUGCUUGUCAGUGAGCCUGUCAACAGGAAAGGGAGAGGGUAGAAGUUGAGCGAACCCAUGGAUCGAAUGAGGUUUCAGUGGCGUCGAAUCGCACCAUGAUCAGAUACAUGCUGUGAAAUCAUAUUUUGCGUGGGGGCGCCAAAAAGCCUGCCGACAGCAAUGUCACUUCCAGAGUUCCAGUGGCUGUAGCAGCCAAGAAGGAACUGCCUAUUGCCGGCGGGGCUCAAGCGGUGUCACUUUCAGUGGCUAUAGCAGCCAAAAAAACCAAAACCCCUCUAUAUUCUGAUGGCAAAUCUAUGUAUGAAUUGCACGUGGCAUCACAUAAAUUACCAUUCGAGAUAAGUUGCAGUCUGCAGAUCUCGGGGGACAGUAUGGCUGGAAUACGCUUGGUAACAGGGAGCAUUACCACUGCUGUGUAGUAAGACCGAAUCAAAUUUAAGGGAGUGAAUUGCAAAAAACCACCACAUUAAAGCCUAGGGUUGCAGAAAAGACUCUUCUACGUUUUUGUGCCAGAAAACACUGAUUUCGCGCCUAAUCAUUUGCAGAAAACAUCAAACCUUCUGUUGGGGCAUUUUAAGCACUAUUAUGAUAGGUGGGGCCCGAUUUUGGGGACGUGGCGUCACGGCCGCGAGCUCACGCCGUCUAACGGCGUGGCGGCCGCUACUGCUCCGGCGUGUGGGUAAAAACAGACCGCCGACUGCCGUUCUGCUGCUCCCCGGUGCCAUGGUGUCGUGGAGCGACGAGACCAGUGAGGAUUCAGUCCUGAACAUCUCCUCCUCCUGCGAUGGCAUCAUCAAGCUUCCAGCUACGAUGCACGAUCCGAAUUUCAAUGGUACUGAAGCAGAUGUGAAUGUGUUGUGUGAACACGGUGAGCCGGCCGAACGCUUUGUAGCAUUUGAAGGGAUGCACACGGGCAGGAGGUUUCUUGGAUGUGCUAAGAAGGAAGGCAUAAACUGUGGAGUAGUUUAAUGGAUUGAUUUUGAAUGGCCAGACUCAAUGGAGAAGGCAUUGGCCAAGCUAUGGGAUAUGUAUGAGGAGACUAAGUCAGCUAGGACCAAUGACAAUCUAGAGAGUUCCUUUGCAAUUCACAACCUGACAGAAGAGAAGAAGAAACUACAGGAGAACUAUGACAGUUUGUAUGCUGAUGUGAAUGCUCUUUUGAAUGCCCAGCAGGAGAGAGGUGUGGAGUUAACCAAUCAAAAGGAGCAGAAGCAAUAUCUUGAAGUGAAGAUUGCUGAGCUUGAAAAUGUAGUUGGCAACUUGACGGCAGAGUUGUCAAAGAAAGAGGAGGAGAAGAAGAAACUAUAGGAGAACUAUGACAGUUUGUAUGCUGAUGUGAAUUCUCUCUUGGAUGCCCAGCAGCAGAGGGGUGUGGAGUUAAACAAUCAGAAGGAGCAGAAGGAAUAUGUUGAUGUGAAGAUUGUUGAGCUUGAGACUGUAGUGGGGAACUUGAAGGCAGAGCUGUCAAAGACAGAGGAGAAGAAGAAGAAGAUGUUGCUAAACUAUGAAACUCUGAAGAACCUGACAUGUGCUCAAGCCAAUGUGAUUAGGAACUUGAAGUUCAAUCAUUUGAAGGAGAAGGAGAUGCUCACAGAAGAGAGGCUUAAACUGCAGUAUCACAUUUCUGAGCUUCAAAAGUCUGAGGAAAAGAUGAAGUUGAAGCUUCAGGGUGUGAAGGCCAUCUUAGAUGAGUAGGGGCCUUCUAGUAUGAUAAUCAUCUAUCAGUUUCUAGAUGAUAAUCUUCUAUCCAAUACUUUAGUAUGAACUUGUGACACAAGUACUUCAGUGAUGAAUUUGUGAUCUAUGGUGUUGGAUCCAGCAGUGUUGUAAUCUAGAUGAUAAUCAUCUACUAAGUACUUUAGUAUCUAUUUUUGAACCUUUGUCUAUGUAUUUUGUGAGAUCAGGUGUUGGAUCCAACCUUGAUGAACCUUUAUGAAUGUGAGUGCACUUUGAUUGUCA